rnacentral:sRNA from 1 species
AAGAAAAAGAAAAAAAAAAGUAUAUCAUGCUAUACACGAAAGCCGUGUGCUCCUUUGCUCUGGUCAGUUGCUGAGGAAACAUCCGGCUUGUUGACCGGGACUAAGGCAUCUGAGGUUCUCGAGACGCUCCAGGUGCACAGGUGUGUCCAGGUGCACAGGUGUGUCCAGCUCACAGCCUGCAAGCUGCAUGCAACCUGAUU